rnacentral:rRNA from 1 species
UACAUGGGGUGCAAACGUUGCUCGGAAUUAUUGGGCGUAAAGCGCGCGCAGGUGGUUCCUUAAGUCUGAUGUGAAAGCCCACGGCUCAACCGUGGAGGGUCAUUGGAAACUGGGGAACUUGAGUGCAGAAGAGGAAAGUGGAAUUCCACGUGUAGCGGUGAAAUGCGUAGAGAUGUGGAGGAACACCGGUGGCGAAGGCGGCAUCCUGGACCGACACUGACGCUGACAGCGCGAAAGCUAGGGGAGCGAACGGG